rnacentral:lncRNA from 1 species
UCCCAACCCACUGAGCCACAGUGGGAACUCCAAGAACACUGUUUAUGAUUCAAGUGCUGGAAAGGUGUCCUAUGGCUCAAUGAGUUAAAAUUCUUAGAACUCUUAGGACAUGGUUGUUACAACCAUGUAGGGUUAAGUCAGAACAACUUUAUUAAAGGAGAAUCAUGCAUGUGUGAGAAGGAACAAGUCCUUGGAAGAGCAGUUAAAAACCAGAGUUCCAGAGUUCCCGUCAUGGUUCAGUGGUUAACGAAUCCAACUAGGAACCAUGAGGUUGCAGGUUUGAUCCCUGGCCUUGCUCAGUGGGUUAAGGAUCCGGCGCCGCCGUGAGCUGUGGUGUAGGUUGCAGACGCAGCUCCGAUCCCGAGUUGCUGUGGCUCUGGUGUAGGUCAGUGGUGAUGGCUCCCAUUCGACCCCUAGCCUGGGAACCUCCAUAUGCCUCGGGAGCAGCCCAAGAAAUGGCAAAAAGACAAAAACAAAACAAAACAAAAACUGAGUUCCCUGGUGGCUCAGCAGAUUAAAUGAUCUAUCAUUGUCAUUGCUGUGGUGCAGGUUUGAUCCUUGGCCUGGGAACUUCUGCAUGCAAUGGGCAUAGCCAAAACAAUACCAACAAAAACAAAAACAGAGCUGCUAACUAGACUUGGCACUUUCAAGAUUUUUUAAUCUUGAGUUUUAAAAUGUUGACAGCAGACCCCUUAAUGAGUAACUUGUACCCAAACCCUAAUGAUCCUUAAUGGUUUACUUUUCUCUGUCUUGCCACCUCAGAGUUCUCUCCUUGCUUGUCCAGCUGCAGGGAAGAUACUUUACCUGCUGUCUCUGCAGAAGAUGAUGCAAAAGAGAACCCAAGUCGAACAAAUCCAGAGGUUCUUCUGCAAAUACUGCGGACAUUGCUAUCUCCUGGCUCACAACGCUUUCUGCCACACUCAACAUUCACGAAACACCCGCAUCGCUCUACUGCCCUAAGAACCUGAAGAUCUGAAUAUUGUCCUCAUGGGGGCUCACGGUUUAGUAGAUGACAGUGAGUUUGACCGACAAACAGAAGCUCUCUUACUUAAGGAGUCACUGGACACACUUACAGGUGCUUAUGGUUGUUAACUGUCCUGUCACUGGGCAUAUGUGGGAUCACGACUUACACAAGACUUAAGCAUGGUGAAAUCCAGCAGAAGGGGGUUAAAUAAAGCAGGAAUUGCUUGAGACAAGUCUGUGGGGACCUACGCCCAGGAGCAGAGCAGGGAGGGGAAAAGGGGUGCGUGUAGUUUCCCGGCAAUGCUGUGGCCUCGACCUCCUCCCCAUCCCUCUGAGGUCCUUCACUGAAAGAACGCGGAAGCACAGGUUCAGGGAUCCCAGGCGUCACAGCCACCACACUGGGAGGGACAAGAGAAGUGUAGCUGACCCAUUCCUAUCAUGUCCUUGGCAGGGAGGGACUUGGGCCCCGGAGCGUCCCUCCUCCCCUUUUCUUCAAAGUUCCUCCCCUUAGUCCCUGGGCCCCUGGGUUAUUUCCUACUCUAGCAAGAUUGUUUUGAUAUUCUCUUUUUCCUCCUUUUUUCUUUCCUUCAUUAAAGAGAUGAAAGGUGAAGUAGAAAGGAGCAGGAAUAGACAGCAUGAUGGAAGUUUUGGGGAGGGCACACACUGACCCAGCCUUGCUGCCUGAGCAACUGGGGGUGGGGGGGGGGGGGCAACAGGAAAGGUCAACUCACGUUCACAGUGUUCACACAAAAGUCACUUUUGCCUCAUUCUCAGCAGGGUUUCCCUAGCUGGGGUGUAGCGGGGCGAGGACUCCUCAACACAGAAAGAGAGAGUGUGAGAGGUAGAUGAGAGAGUGGGCUCUAGGCCAUCAGGGCAGGAGGUGGGCAGGAGGGAGGUUUGCUAACUGAGGCUCAUAGGGGACCCCUGAACUGAAGGUGAACAAAGCAGCAUUGGCAGAGAUCCACUGAUGGGCUGGAGAGGGGUGGGGGUGGACGUGGAUGUCCCAGAACCAUGAUUUUGGAGCCGGUGAAAAGGGGAUUUGAGGCUCUGCUAAGAGGCAGAGAGGAGAGUCUGGGUCUUGGAUCCUGGCUGCUGUGUGCUUUUCCUCUACAAGCCGGGAGGAUGGCUUGGUUUUUAGGCCAGCUUUGAACAGACAGCGUUGAAACCAACGGGGGAGGAGGAGGAAGCAGAGUUUAGAAGGUGAUGUUCUUUCUUGAAGCCUUCACCUCCACUUAUUCAGAGAUGCCUUUAUCAGGUUUCUAGGUAUCCAUUACCAUAGGCAUUAAAUGCUUCCAAGUCCUACCUAAGCCUGCCCUUCUAGGUUGGCAUCUUGCUCAAACCCCUGUCUCUCCUUCCACCCCUUCCUUCAGUCAGUGUCACAUGCUGGUGGCAAAGGUGUAUUCAAGUUCAUUUGUUUACUGUUCAGUGUUUUUAGCUUAGGAACAUUUAACUCUCAAAAUGAUAUUAUCUGAAACAUAGAUAUUUGGUACUGAAAAACACUGUGAGUAUUGGAGACCGGUUGACCUGGGUUCAAAUCUCCAUUCAUGCUUGCUGGAUGGCCCCAGGCACCUUA